UCGCGGACAGGCGAUGAGGCUCGCCUUGAACUGCCACAACGGCUAAUGGCUUCUACCCGUGA
rfam:Mycobacterium xenopi 3993 GMX3993.contig.9, whole genome shotgun sequence.